rnacentral:rRNA from 1 species
UACGUAGGCAGCGAGCGUUGUUCGGAGUUACUGGGCGUAAAGAGUGCGUAGGCGGUUUUCUAAGUUUGGUGUGAAAUCUCCCGGCUUAACUGGGAGGGUGCGCCGAAGACUGGAAGGCUUGAGUAUGGGAGAGGUAAGCGGAAUUCCUGGUGUAGCGGUGAAAUGCGUAGAUAUCAGGAGGAACACCUGCGGUGUAGACGGCUUACUGGACCAUCACUGACGCUGAGGCACGAAGGCCAGGGGAGCAAACGGG